AUUAGCGUAGGAAUUUUUUUGUUUUGAAGUUGAUAUACCAAGGUUAUUGUAAGUUCCCUCUUCGUUUACACGGAACUGAUCAAGGAUAUAUCUGAAGCAAAGGUAAAAGUGACCCUUGGAGAAAAAAAGAGCAGAGCGUCAAUCAUGGCCGCAGAACCUGAACACAACUCAACAGCCGAGCCUGAGCCCGAGAGUACAGCGGAGCCAAAAACUCUGUUUCCAGAGAUAAUGACCAAUCAGGAAGCGUUCCUGAUGUACGGGGUUUUUAUCUUCUGCCUAGCUGUCUUCUGCAUUGUGCUGCUGGUUCUCUACAUCAAGUUGAAGAAGAGGGUGAAAAAACUGAUGAAUACAACUGGAUCAGUGGACAUGAAAGCUUAUAAUGGUUAGCCAGGGGUCAGUAGAUGAAAAUUUUGGAUACUUUUGUCGCGUUUUU
rnacentral:lncRNA from 1 species